AGAGUUUGAUCCUGGCUCAGGAUGAACGCUAGCGGCAGGCUUAACACAUGCAAGUCGAGGGGCAGCGGGGACUUCGGUCCGCCGGCGACCGGCAAACGGGUGCGGAACACGUACGCAACAUACCUCUUUCUGGGGCAUAGCCCGAAGAAAUUCGGAUUAACACCCCAUAGUAUUGAAUGGUGGCAUCACCUAACAAUUAAAAAUUUAUUGGAAAGAGAUUGGCGUGCGUCCUAUUAGCUAGUUGGUACGGGUAACGGCCUACCAAGGCGACGAUAGGUAGCUGGUGUGAGAGCACGACCAGCCACACGGGCACUGAGACACGGGCCCGACUCCUACGGGAGGCAGCAGUGAGGAAUAUUGGUCAAUGGACGCAAGUCUGAACCAGCCAUGCCGCGUGAAGGAUGAAGGCGUUCUGCGUUGUAAACUUCUUUUAUUGGGGAAGAAACCUGGAUAUUCUUAUUCAGCCGACGGUACCCAAGGAAUAAGCACCGGCUAACUCCGUGCCAGCAGCCGCGGUAAUACGGAGGGUGCAAGCGUUAUCCGGAUUUACUGGGUUUAAAGGGUGUGUAGGCGGACUUUUAAGUCAGCGGUGAAAUCUCCGGGCUCAACCCGGAAACUGCCAUUGAUACUAUUGGUCUUGAAUAUUGUUGAGGUGGGCGGAACGGGUCAUGUAGCGGUGAAAUGCAUAGAUAUGACCCGGAACACCGAUUGCGAAGGCAGCCCACUAAGCAAUGAUUGACGCUGAGGCACGAAAGCGUGGGGAUCAAACAGGAUUAGAUACCCCGGUAGUCC
rnacentral:rRNA from 1 species